rnacentral:rRNA from 1 species
GAUGAACGCUGGCGGCGUGCCUAAUACAUGCAAGUCGAGCGAACAGACGAGGAGCUUGCUUCUCUGACGUUAGCGGCGGACGGGUGAGUAACACGUGGAUAACCUACCUAUAAGACUGGGAUAACUUCGGGAAACCGGAGCUAAUACCGGAUAAUAUUUUGAACCGCAUGGGUCAAUAGUGAAAGACGGUUUUGCUGUCACUUAUAGAUGGAUCCGCGCUGCAUUAGCUAGUUGGUAAGGUAACGGCUUACCAAGGCAACGAUGCGUAGCCGACCUGAGAGGGUGAUCGGCCACACUGGAACUGAGACACGGUCCAGACUCCUACGGGAGGCAGCAGUAGGGAAUCUUCCGCAAUGGGCGAAAGCCUGACGGAGCAACGCCGCGUGAGUGAUGAAGGUCUUCGGAUCGUAAAACUCUGUUAUUAGGGAAGAACAUAUGUGUAAGUAACUGUGCACAUCUUGACGGUACCUAAUCAGAAAGCCACGGCUAACUACGUG